UGCCUCUGGGAUGUGUGAAAUCGACUUGCCGAAUAAAAGUACCGAAACCUAUGUAAUCUGUGAUUGGGGAUAGCGACUCUACAGUUUCAUCAUCGCUACGGAACGGAGAAUGCACGAGAAAAGAGAUCCCAGCCGGAAUGCCUCUGGGAUGUGUGAAAUCGACUUGCCGAAUAAAAGUACCGAAACCUAUGUAAUCUGUGAUUGGGGAUAGCGACUCUACAGUCGGAAUACCGCUGGGUUAGGGAAAGCAUCGUCUAGUCUC
rnacentral:lncRNA from 1 species